UGGGGAAUAUUGCACAAUGGGGGAAACCCUGAUGCAGCGACGCCGCGUGAACUAAGAAGGUAUUCGUAUCGUAAAGUUCUGUCCUAUGGGAAGAUAAUGACAGUACCAUAGAAGAAAGCUCCGGCUAAAUACGUGCCAGCAGCCGCGGUAAUACGUAUGGAGCGAGCGUUGUCCGGAAUUAUUGGGCGUAAAGGGUACGCAGGCGGUUUAAUAAGUCGAAUGUUAAAGAUCGGGGCUCAACCCCGUAAAGCAUUGGAAACUGAUAAACUUGAGUAGUGGAGAGGAAAGUGGAAUUCCUAGUGUAGUGGUGAAAUACGUAGAUAUUAGGAGGAAUACCAGUAGCGAAGGCGACUUUCUGGACACAAACUGACGCUGAGGUACGAAAGCGUGGGGAGCAAACAGG
rnacentral:rRNA from 1 species